CUACGUUCCCUCCUUUUGAAGGUCUUGUUACCAUUCCAACCAAUGGAACAUGAGUGUUUUAUGACAUAACCAUUAGACCAUCUUCUGGUUCCAUAGCUCUUGUCCUUGAAAGGCACUUUCAAUGGGUAUAAAAUUACAGGUUUGGGGACCAGCAGAUGGCAUAACGGGUCACAAAAAGGAUAUACCUUCUGCUUAGCUCCCCGUGGGAUGCUCUCCCUUGGAACCAGCCACCGUGUUGUGAAGGAGCACAGGCCGCAUGGAUAGGAACUGAAGAUUUACCAACAGCCAGCAUCAAUGGAUGAACAUGUGCAUGAAUGGCUUUUCCUGCUUCCAGCCUCCAAGUCUUACAACGAACAACAUGGGGAGGAGAUAAGCCAUCCCUGCUUCACCCUGUUGAAUCCCUGUCCCACAGAAUCUGGGAGCAUAAGAAAUGCUGUUUUAAGCCCCUACCUCACUCAGCAGCAGUAACUGGAAUGUUCCCCAAUGUAUCUCCAAUGCCUAACUUAGGUCUGGCACAUGGUGGAUGCGUAAUAAAUAUUUGUUGGGUUUAUAAAAGACAUUAGCUAAUGUAUUCUUCUUCUAGACUCUAUAGAUUGCUCUUUAGAAAACCCCCAUGCCUUACACUAGUUAUCUUCCAUCUCUGCUUGGAACAAAGGCUCACUCUCCUGUUUGCCAGUGAAUGAAAGUCCCUUAGAGAAAGGGCUCCAGCCCUUCCCAGUUCCUCAGAAAGCUAAGGGGUGAGGUCAACCCUGCUUCCUGCCUUUUGGGAUCCACCCUCAAAGCAAAUAGGCCACUCAUCCCUCUGUGUCUCAAAUAAAUAUUUAUAUUGCCCUUGUUUGGGUGACUGCCAUUUUGUUUUCCUCAUAGACUGGGAACUUCCAGGACAAAAGUGAUGUGGAAAGAAAAGACAUUUUCAGACUGCACCUGCAUCAUCCAAUCUAAAAAAAAAAGCCAGAAGCAGUGAUGGCACUGCUAAAAAUAACACUUGGAUGUGCCAUGACAUUAGCAGAGCAGAAUGUCUAACAGUGUUGCCAAGGAGAGGCACUCCAAGACCCGCUUAAAUGGUAAUUACAGAACGAAGGCAGAGCAUGGGGCCAGGAGAGCAGAAGCCAGCUCUGCCUCCAGCUGGAGCAGUUUCCAGAUCAAGAAAAGGAGACAAGACGGCUGGAUCCCACCUCUAGUGCCCUUUUCAGCUUCCACAUACUUUCCAUGGUCUGGCUUCCCGAGUUCCAAAAAGUGAAAAGGGCACACUUCAGACCUAGAAAAACCCAAAUCCCAGUGGAGGGGGCUUCCCAUGAGCAAGGGUUGGACUUCUCUGAACCAAUCUCCAGAACAAUGUUGACAACUCAGAUCACCGCUGAUUUUAAAGAACUCCAAACCUGAUACUCCUGGCCACUCGCCAGGGUGCUUCCUGAGUGAUGAGAAGUGAAAAGCAAACCCAGGCCCCUGGCCAUGGAGGGGGCAGGAGAAGGGAGCCCCAGCGGCAGGGGUUCCUGGUCCUGCACUUGCCCUGGGCUGCACAGGACACCGCUCUCACUUUGGGGUGGCUCAGCACCUUGGGGGCUCCCAUGAGCCUGAGUGACAGCUGGUCCAAACUUUGGGUAAAAAGCUGGCUUGGAGUUCCUCCUCAAAUACACCAGAGUGUGGCAGAUCGAGAACUGGGUAGGUUUAUACCCAAGAGUGACUUGUCUUUUUUUUAAGAUUUCUUUCUUUCU